rnacentral:tRNA from 2 species
GGGCCUAUAGUCUAAUGGUCAGGAUUCCUCUUUGGCGUGGAGGGGAUGCGGGUUCGAUUCCCGCUAGGUCCA